GAUCAAGGGGCCGAAGGUGUGUUGUAGGAGGAGGCCUUCCUUUUAAUUUCAUUUCUAAUUUUGUGUUGCGUUUCUGUUUUAAAAUUCUGCUCAGGUGCCUGGAGGGGCUUUUAUCUCUUAGGUCACUCUGAGGGGGGAGGCACAUGAAGCCCCUGGGGUCUCCAGCGAUCGUGGCACCUACUCUCCCACCCCCACUGUUUUCCUGGGUGCUGCCCUUUGAAUUCUCCCAGCACUUAUCAAAUAUUUGCAGCAGGCUAAUCAUUAACCAGCUGCCCCGUAUGAGCCAACCGCCCCACUGGGUGGAGCUGAUCCGACUUUGCCCGCUUCCUGGAUGGGGGGGGGGGCUCUCUCUACCCAGCAGCAGCCACCGGAGUGCAGCACCAGGCUGGGGGGCCUUGGAGAAGGUGAGCAUCCGGGAGAGGGAGGCCGGCCCCAUUAGGGCUCCCCAGAAUGGGGGGAGAGGGCUGCAGAGAGGGGGGGCUGCCCACCCAAGGGGGUGCCUAUCGACUGUAACAGCAACUCCAUGUGGAAGCAUGAAGCUGUUCCCAUGGGGGGGCUGUUAUUUUGGAUGGACACUUAAGAGCUGCCUCGCAUUCCCCCCCUCCCUGGUCUGGACAAGGAGAAGAGACCAGUCUGUGACCCGCCCGUCCACAUACAUGGAUGCAACAACCCACUGGAUUGUAAUUUGAUGGACUCCACUGGAUCACAAAUCGAGGCCUCCCUUGGAUCACCUACUGAGGCAAUCUGGUGGCUGUAAAUGGAUGCAACCGGCCGGAUCGUGAAUUGAGGCAAUCCACUGGAUCAUAAAGUAUUUAUGUGAUCUGGGGGUUGUAAAUGGAUGAAACCCGCUGUGAAUGGAUGCAACGUGCUGGAUCAUAAACCGAGGUGACCCACUGGAUCAUAAACCAAGGCGACCCACUGGAUCAUAAACCGAGGCGAUCCACUGGAUCAUACAUUGAGGCAAUCCACUGGAUCAUACAUUGGGGAAAUCCACUGGAUCAUAAACCGAGGCGAUCCACUGGAUCAUACAUUGAGGCAAUCCACUGGAUCAUAAAUCGAUGUGAUCCACUGGUUCAUAAAUCGAUGUGAUCCACUGGAUUAUAAAUCGAUGC